UAGCCACGGGAGACUGUGGGUAAUGCCGGAUAAUAUCUGCGGAUCAAAGGUGUGAUUCCGCCUCGGGAGCGGACUGCGUCCUACUAGCUUGUUGGUGGGGUAAUGGCCCACCAAGGCAAUGAUGGGUAGCGGGCGUGAGAGCGUGGCCCGUCUCACUGGGACUGAGACACUGCCCAGACACCUACGGGUGGCUGCAGUCGAGAAUCUUCGGCAAUGCGCGCAAGCGUGACCGAGCGACGCCGCGUGCGGGAUGAAGGCCCUCGGGUUGUAAACCGCGAAAGUAGGGAGGAAGUGCUAGAGGGUUCUCUCUCUAGUUUGACCUAUCUACAGUAAGGACGGGCUAAGUUCGUGCCAGCAGCCGCGGUAAUACGAACCGUCCAAACGUUAUUCGGAAUCACUGGGCUUAAAGGGUACGUAGGCGGCGCUGUCAGUCGGGUGUGAAAUCCCAGGGCUCAACCCUGGAACUGCGCCCGAUACUGCAGUGCUUGAGGGAGACAGAGGUAAGCGGAACUGAUGGUGGAGCGGUGAAAUGCGUUGAUAUCAUCAGGAACACCGGUGGCGAAAGCGGCUUACUGGGUCUCUUCUGACGCUGAGGUACG
rnacentral:rRNA from 1 species